CAAGUGUGGUGCUGAGGUCCCCGGGAUUUCCUGAGACUCUUUCCAGGGAUUUUUGAGAUCUAUAAUUUCCUUGUCAUUAGGUAAUCUUCACUCAAUGCCAGAAUGUCAAGUGAUAAAUGUACAGGUGAUAAUCAGAGAAUUCAGUCUAUUGAAUAGAAGAAGAAAGAAGGAAAAAGAAAUGGAAAAGAAGAGGAGGUCCUUCCAUUUGAUGAGGUUUGAGGCAGAGUCCUUGAGAGAAGAUGAGCACCAAAUCUCAGCCACUUCUCC
rnacentral:lncRNA from 1 species